rnacentral:rRNA from 1 species
UGGGGAAUUUUGGACAAUGGGCGAAAGCCUGAUCCAGCAAUGCCGCGUGUGUGAAGAAGGCCUUCGGGUUGUAAAGCACUUUUGUCCGGAAAGAAAUCCUUGGCUCUAAUACAGUCGGGGGAUGACGGUACCGGAAGAAUAAGCACCGGCUAACUACGUGCCAGCAGCCGCGGUAAUACGUAGGGUGCAAGCGUUAAUCGGAAUUACUGGGCGUAAAGCGUGCGCAGGCGGUUUGCUAAGACCGAUGUGAAAUCCCCGGGCUCAACCUGGGAACUGCAUUGGUGACUGGCAGGCUAGAGUAUGGCAGAGGGGGGUAGAAUUCCACGUGUAGCAGUGAAAUGCGUAGAGAUGUGGAGGAAUACCGAUGGCGAAGGCAGCCCCCUGGGGCCAAAUACUGACGCUCAUGCACGAAAGCGUGGGGAGCAAACAGGAUUAGAUACCCUGGUAGUCCACGCCCUAAACGAUGUCAACUAGUCGUUGGGGAUUCAUUUCCUUAGUAACGUAGCUAACGCGUGAAGUUGACCGCCUGGGGAGUACGGUCGCAAGAUUAAAACUUAAAUGAAUUGACGGGGU